rnacentral:rRNA from 1 species
AGUGAACGCUGGCGGUAGGCCUAACACAUGCAAGUCGAACGGCAGCACAGUAAGAGCUUGCUCUUACGGGUGGCGAGUGGCGGACGGGUGAGGAAUACAUCGGAAUCUACUUUUUCGUGGGGGAUCACGUAGGUAGACUUACUCUAAUACCGCAUACGACCUACGGGUGAAAGCAGUGGAUCUUCUGACCUUGCGCGAUUGAAUGAGCCGAUGUCGGAUUAGCUAGUUGGCGGGUUAAAGGCCCACCAAGGCGACGACCCGUAGCUGGUCUGUGAGGAUGAUCAGCGACAUUGGAGGUGGGACGCGGUCCAGACGCCUAAGGGAGGCAGCAGUGGGGAAUAUUGGACAAUGGGCGCAAGCCUGAUCCAGCCAUACCGAGUGGGUGAAGAAGGCCUUCGGGUUGUAAAGCCCUUUUGUUGGGAAAGAAAAGCAGCAGGUUAAGACGCCGCGGUUCUGACGGUACCCAAAGAAGAAGCACCGGCUAACUUCGUG